GCCCUCAUAGCUCAGUUGGUAGAAUAUCCGAGCGGUAAUCGGAAGGUUUUGGGUUCGAAUCCCGAUGGGGACA